rnacentral:rRNA from 1 species
GAUAAACGCUGGCGGCGUGCAUGAGACAUGCAAGUCGAACGAACGAGCUUGCUCGUUAGUGGCGGACGGCUGAGUAACGCGUAGGUGACCUGCCCCGAAGUGGGGGAUAACCGCCCGAAAGGGUGGCUAAUACCGCAUGUGGCGACACUUUCAUUGGUGUCAUCAAAGCCGCGAGGCGCUUCGGGAGGGGCCUGCGUCCGAUUAGCUCGUUGGUGGGGUAAUGGCUCACCAAGGCGACGAUCGGUAGGUGGUCUGAGAGGACGAUCACCCAGACUGGGACGGGGACACGGCCCAGACUCAUACGGGAGGCAGCAGUCGGGAAUUUUGGACAAUGGGCGCAAGCCUGAUCCAGCCAUGCCGCGUGCGGGAAGAAGGCCUUCGGGUUGUAAACCGCUUUUGUCAGGGAAGAAAUCCUGCGGGCUAAUAUCCUGCGGGGAUGACGGUACCUGAAGAAUAAGCACCGGCUAAC